UACGGGGGGGAGCAAGCGUUGUUCGGAUUUACUGGGCGUAAAGGGCGCGUAGGCGGUCAGCACAAGUCAGUUGUGAAAUCUCCGAGCUUAACUCGGAAAGGUCAACUGAUACUGUGCGACUAGAGUGCGGAAGGGGCAACUGGAAUUCUUGGUGUAGCGGUGAAAUGCGUAGAUAUCAAGAGGAACACCUGCGGCGAAGGCGGGUUGCUGGGCCGACACGUGACGCUGAAGCGCG
rnacentral:rRNA from 1 species